GCCGGUGUGGCGCAACUGGCUGACGCGAUGCACUCAAAAUGCAUUGUCCUUACGGACAUGUGGGUUCGAAUCCCACCACCGGCA
rnacentral:tRNA from 1 species